CCUACGGGGGGCUGCAGUGAGGAAUAUUGGUCAAUGGGCGCGAGCCUGAACCAGCCAAGUAGCGUGAAGGAUGACUGCCCUACGGGUUGUACACUUCUUUUAUAAAGGAAUAAAGUGAGGCACGUGUGCCUUUUUGUAUGUACUUUAUGAAUAAGGAUCGCCUAACUCCGUGCCAGCAUCCGCGGUAAUACGGUGGAUCCGAGCGUUAGGCGGAUUUAUUGGGUUUAAGGGGAGCGUAGAUGGGUUGUUAAGUCAGUUGUGAAAGUUUGCGGCUCAACCGUAAAAUUGCAAUUGAUACUGGCAGACUUGAGUACAGUUGAGGUAGGCGGAAUUCGUGGUGUAGCGGUGAAAUGCUUAGAUAUCACGAAGAACUCCGAUUGCGAAGGCAGCCUACUAAACUGCAACUGACAUUGAUGCUCGAAAGUGUGGGUAUCAAACAGGAUUAGAUACCCGGGUAGUC
rnacentral:rRNA from 1 species